rnacentral:rRNA from 1 species
GACGAACGCUGGCGGCGUGCUUAACACAUGCAAGUCGAACGGAAAGGCCCUGCUUUUGUGGGGUGCUCGAGUGGCGAACGGGUGAGUAAUACGUGAGUAACCUGCCCUUGACUUUGGCAUAACUUCAGGAAACUGGGGCUAAUACCGGAUAGGAGCUCCUGCUGCAUGGUGGGGGUUGGAAAGUUUCGGCGGUUGGGGAUGGACUCGCGGCUUAUCAGCUUGUUGGUGGGGUAGUGGCUUACCAAGGCUUUGACGGGUAGCCGGCCUGAGAGGGUGACCGGCCACAUUUGGACUGAGAUACGGCCCAGACUCCUACGGGAGGCAGCAGUGGGGAAUAUUGCACAAUGGGCGGAAGCCUGAUGCAGCAACGCCGCGUGCGGGAUGACGGCCUUCGGGUUGUAAACCGCUUUCGCCUGUGACGAAGCGUGAGUGACGGUAAUGGGUAAAGAAGCACCGGCUAACUACGUG